AAGACCGUACUAAUAAGGAUCAUUUCUUUAGUAUGCGUCCUGUCAUUGUAAUUCUACAAAGACAACCCUCUAAACCAUGAUGAUGAGCUGAUGUGAUGGUACCUGAGCGUGAUACUUAACUCACUAGAUUUUUACGAAAACCUAGUGGUUAUAGAUGAACGUUCUGUUCGUUCUAGUAACGAAUGGAGGGUACCGUCACCAGCUGAAUGGU